rnacentral:rRNA from 1 species
UAAGCGAAUAGUGAAUCUUGUGGCUCAACCAUAAGGCUAUUAUUUGAACUGAAUUACUCGAGAGUAGGAGAGGCAUCUGGAAUUUUAGUGUAGGGGUAAAUCCGUAGAUACUAGAAGGAACACCAAUGGCGUAGGCAGGAUGCUGGCCUAUUUCUGACACUGAGGCACGAAAGCGUGGGGAGCAAACAGGAUUAGAUACCCUGGUAGUCCACGCCGUAAACUAUGAAUACUA